rnacentral:rRNA from 1 species
CAGCCGCCGCGGUAAAACGGAGGGGGCUAGCGUUGUUCGGAAUUACUGGGCGUAAAGCGUACGUAGGCGGCUUUGUAAGUUAGAGGUGAAAGCCCGGAGCUCAACUCCGGAAUUGCCUUUAAGACUGCAUCGCUUGAAUCGUGGAGAGGUGAGUGGAAUUCCGAGUGUAGAGGUGAAAUUCGUAGAUGUUCGGAAGAACACCAGUGGCGAAGGCGGCUCACUGGACACGUAUUGACGCUGAGGUACGAAAGCGUGGGGAGCAAACAGGAUUAGAUACCCCAGUAGUCCCUGUCUCUUAUAC